CUUGAAAAGGCUGAGGGUUAUGAGUGUGUCAGUUUGUCUAGAACAGAAGGUUUGCCAGCUUAACUCAAGUAAUGGCUUUUCUGGAUGACAGGGAGGGGACAAGCCAAAGCAGUGCCACCUGGACCUAUUUAGGGAAUCGCUUUGGAUGACCUUUGAAUGAUCACUUCAGUUACGAAGUUACCAGAGGAAGAGGAAAAGAGCCCAUUUAAAAUCACAACGGAGGGAUGCUGAAGAGACGCCCGUUGAAGUUGGCCAUCUUGAAAGGCUCUGUCCACUCCUCCAAAAAUAACGUGUUCUGGGAAGGCAGUGAAGUUUUUGUUACGGGACGAACUUUUUUCUCAGAAACGUCAAUGAAGUCAGGAAUGAGAACUGAACCGUGCUGUCACCUAUCGUGUUCCGGGGGGGGGAAAAUCCUGAUAUUCACCCUGUCCUUGUUCCAGUGCCAGAUACCAAGAUUAGAUCCGGCUUCCCCAGCUGUUCCCAUUUCCAGACUCAGAGGGUGAAGCAAUUGGAAUGGCCACUGAAGUAUGCUGAGGUUCUGGUCUAUCAACGGAGGGAAUGAAUGUCCCAUUAUAAUCUCCUCCCUUAAGGGGUUUUUAAAUAAAAAAGGACAACUGAUCUCACUCUCA